rnacentral:tRNA from 1 species
GGGCCGUUAGCUCAGCUGGUAGAGCGCCUCCAUGGCAUGGAGGAGGCCACCGGUUCAAAUCCGGUACGGUCCACCA